rnacentral:lncRNA from 1 species
CUACCCAGUCUGUUAAUGUGUAUUCAGGAAGAUAAGAAGGCCACCCCUAAUUUGCAUCUUUAAGGAUAAAUUUUUUUUUUAAAGAUUUUACUUUUUUCCUUUUUCUCCCCAAAGCCCCCCCGUACAUAGUGUGGGUCCUUCUAGUUGUGGCAUGUGGGAUGCUGCCUCAGCGUGGCUUGAUGCACAGUGCCAUGUCCGCACCCAGGAUUCAAACCAACAAAACACUAGGCUGCCUGCAGCAAAGCGCAUGGACUUAACCACUCGGUCACAGGGCCAGCCCCUCUAAGGAUAAAUUUAAGGGAGGACUGGGGGGAGAGAGAGAAAGAGAGACAGAGACAGAGAGAAAAGGAACUAAGUAGCUCCAGGGUAGAAAGUUCAUCCAUUAAGGACAGCUCUUUUGUUGCUUUAUCACCAGGCAACUAUUCUGGCCAAAUAUUUACCUUGAAUUUCUUUGAAAGGACUGACCUGGAAGGAAGUGGUAGUAGUUAUUUUGGGAUGCUGCUCAUGUUCCCUCUCAGUUUUGUGGCACUUAUUUUCCUAGCUACUGGCAGUACUGCCUACAUCCUUCUCCAGAAACUUCUCUCAUCCUAAGGGAGAUGCCCUGCCUUUUCCUCUGUUCCUGGUGAUUGGCUUCCAAUGACCGGUCACUGUAGUGUUCGAAGGCCUGGCUCCCUGGUCUCAAUUAGAGAUACCUCUGAAAGGCCUCCCCAACUCUAGAAUUCCUUGUGGGUCUGGUUGAUAUUGCUGUAGCAGCUGCAAUGCAGUUCAUUUUAUUUCUCUACCUGUUUCCUUUGCUUUUUUUCUAGGUAAUGUUCCAGAGAGCACUCCUCGACACAGAUUUCAAAGUCUUCGGUCAGCUUCCUGGGCCUGCCUUGAGAGAGGCAUUUUCUGAGGCAUUACGUGGCCUUCUAACGUCCCACAAACCAGGUGUCUUCACUGUAAAGAGUACAUUCAUGUUUAUUUUAUCUGGUGCCUGUGUAUUCUGUACACAUGUCAAAAACCAAAGCAACAACUGAGAACACAUCUGCAUCUCAUGAUGAGCUCGCCUCCCCCUUGGGAAAGCAAGAUGUUCAGGUAUUUUGCAAUAUCUGCUUCCCAUGAUCAUCUGAACGGUUCCAGGAAUUCUCAGCCUCCUUAUUCUGUUGGGAGACAGCAUAUCCACAUUGCAAAAGAAAAAGCAUUCUAAUCUGUCUUCAAGGAUACUUUUCAAAGUGACGUCUUAUUAAAUUGACUCAUUCCAAAGGGAAAGUAACAACACUUGUUAAGAAUUGAUGGAGACAACAGAAUGUUUAGAAAUGCAAAGAAUGGAUAGAAAAAAACCAUUCCAAGAAAAGUCCCUGAAAUGUACUUGCCCAUUCAUUCGCCAAGUGUUAGAACAGACUUAACUGCACGCCAGCUACUGUCAUUGGUGAGAUAGAACCUACAAUAAAUGAAACCUCAUUGGUACUUUCA